AUGUCUAUUGUGCCCGGCAAAAACAUAUUUGCAAGGAGUUUCCCAAAGGCUUUCUCAUUCUAAAAAACAAUUUCAAGUAUAUUUCCGUUCUCCAUUCUCUGCUCGGAUGAUUGCCACUUGUGUGAAUUUCAUUGCUGUGGGUCCCGUGUGUGCUCGAAUAAGAUUGUUUUAGGAUUCUAUUUAGUUGAAUUUCUUGACUCUGCGGUGCUGGUUAUCGAGUUUAUGGCGCCACCGACCAUCCAAAAAGAACACCGUCAAGUAUCUACCAUGAGUGAAAUCAACUAG
rnacentral:rRNA from 1 species